UUUUGAAUGAAUGAAUUAUGGAACAUUGUCUUCUGUUUUUUAUUGGCUCUGAUAAUAUAUAUAAUUUGCUUAGUCCUUGAUACUCUUACCUUUGGCACCCUUUUGCAUCUGAUACUAUGAUGAAUUUUAAGUCUAAACUGGAAGUCAGACUCAUAUCUGAAGGCUGAUUACUGGCCUGUGUUAAUUAAAGUCAUUAAGCAUUUAUCAAAAAAUGCUUUAUUUUUAUACCAUGUCUAAUUCAGAUAUAGAAAAUAUUAAGUAUCAAAAAGACAACUUUUUUUAGAGUCAUUGAUGCAUAAUAGGCUUAUUUUCUUCACCUCCAAGUAUGUACUAUUGAAUUGGCAAAUUCAUGUAACAUAAACCUAUUAUAUACUUUUCUCUGCAAGGCCUUAGAUUUUAGUGAUGAUGAAAAAGAGAAGGAAGCCAAACAGAGGAAAAAAUCUCAGAUUCAAGGCCGGAAAAAACUCAAAUCUGAAUUUAAUGAGCCUGGUGAAGAUUUUACUGAAGUACAUCAGAAUUGGAAUGCUCAUAGCUCUGCUUCAGAGCAUGCAAAAGGAUAUCGUAACAGAGAAUUCACACGAGGAUUUUCCAGGGCCAGAUACCCUCGAUCUUGCCAUGGCAGGCCUCCACCUCAGCAUUUCUAUAACUCAGAACAUAUGGUAUCUCAGGAGACUUCAGGAUUUCCUUCUCAGAGACAAAAUAAUCCCAUUAUGCCACA
rnacentral:lncRNA from 1 species